GGUUUAGAAUUCCUGAAGAAAGGGUAAAAUUGUUGAUAUAGGAAAACUUUCGAUGGCGAAAGCAUUUACCGAUUCUGUUCUGACGCUAGGUACUAAAGCUUGGGGAGAAAGAGGAUUAGAGACCUCGUAGUCCUUGCCUUAAACAAUGAGUGUUCAACGUCUUAGAAUACUCGGAUUCACUUAAUUGAUGCGAUCCUAGAGGAUUCUUGGGGGUUUGAAGYUACCGCCGCGAAACA
rnacentral:rRNA from 1 species